UAUGCCUAUCUAUUCAUCAUUUACCUUUGUUUCCUAUGUUUAGGUAUCAUUGGUAUACUUGACCUCCUUAACUCCUCAAUCAUAAUCUAUUUUGCUUUUACACUCCUCAGUUCUGGGUUGUAAGUUAUACGGUGCAUGUGAGUAGUAUCGUAUACCUCAUAAUUCAUCUAUCCAUUUAUUGCUUCCAUAUGUACGCAUGUGGCUUUUACUGCUAUGUCACACUACUAUG
rnacentral:lncRNA from 1 species